AGUAGAGAGGGUGAGAAGAAUGCAGUGACGUUUCAUUUUGCCGCUCAAGGUUUUGUGAUCGAAGUUUUCAUCGAAGGGUUUUUGAUCUCUAAGUUUUGCGUUUGAGUUGGUCGAGAAGCAGAUGGCGGAUAUCCAAGAAACAAAGGAGAAUGAAGGGACCAAUAAGGCGACGGGAGUUUCCGUGACAGGGAGGCAAGCACAGAAUGAAAAGGAGGACGAAUUGCGGAGUUCAAGCAAAUCAUUUCUAUUGGUGCCAAAUGUCAAUGAAUCAGGAACGGAGGAGGAACAAGCAGCAUUCUUGGAGGAGCUGCAAACUUUCCACAACGAGAGGUCUUUGGAAUUUGAAGUGCCAAUGUUCAAUGGAGAGCCACUAAAUUGCCUCAAGUGUGUUUUAGUAUACACUAACAUUGAACAUUGGCACUUCAAAUUCCGAAGACCUCUCUAUUGGUGCCAAAUGUCAAUGAAUCAGGAACGGAGGAGGAACAAGCAACAUUCUUGGAGGAGCUGCAAACUUUCCACAACGAGAGGUCUUUGGAAUUUGAAGUGCCAAUGUUCAAUGGAGAGCCACUAAAUUGCCUCAAGUUAUGGAGAGUUGUCAUGAGACAUGGUGGCUAUGAUGAGGUUUGCCAGGGUCUUGUACUUUUAAGAUUUGAAAGUUGAUUAUACUUGCAUAAUUUAUACAAUUAAUGUCAUUUUCUGAACAUCUGACUUGCUUGUUUCUUAAUUAACAUCCAUUCUUCUUUUUUUUCGAAAUUUGAAAUCCAACAAUAGAAAUGUGACAAAUAGGUGAACAACUGCUGAGCCCGAGCUUGAACGUGAAGCUCUAGGCUUGAUAUGAUCUUGAGCCAAGUUCAAGCACCUUAGCCCAAUUCUCAGCUCGACUAUGCUCAUUUCGUUUGUAGCCUUUUUUAUGAUCUUUAAAUAGCCUGAUCCAGGGAAACCUAAUUUCUGGUCUAUUGGAUAUCAAAUGAAUGUUCGAUAAUCUUUAGUAAACUUGUUUUUAAAUAUAUGUCCUUGGGUCCUUCUAUGUGUUGAUUUCACGAAAGCAUUUAGCUUCAGAUUUCAGAACAUGUUUUAGGGUUUUGGAAUUAGAAAGUUUUUGAUAUAUGAAGUGCUAUGGGUUGCUUACUGCUUUUGCUCGUUUGUUGGUAACGUCACGCAAGCGGUGGUGGCUAGUUGGAGAAUUAUUUAAACCCCCAAAGUAAAGAGUAACUUCAUGCUAUAUGGUUCUAGUUUAAUGAUUAGUUUGCAUGAACUAAGAAAAAUGGAGUAUGAAUUUAUUUGUUUGAGUUCAUAUGCCGAAUGCCUUAUUAUUACCUAUGCAGACUGUUAGUUUUGCUAUGUUACUGAAACACACUAGGAUAACAUGUAACAAAAGCUUGCUUGACCAAUAUAUGUAUUCCUAUUAUUGUAUCAAAGAGGCUGUUACUUGGUACACCCUUCCUUUAGAAGGGGAAAAUUAAAAUAUUCAAAAUAGUGAUACUUCAAAAGAAGUGAAAAUGUAUUCAACUUCCAACAACCUUACCGUUCUCACUUGUUUCAAAGUGAUAAAUUAUUUUUUAAUUAGGGUUACUGUUUUCUAACAAUGCUUUAACUUGUGCAGGAUCUGCACUGCUCUCUCAAGGAUUUUCCGAUGUUUUUAUGAAAAGAUUACGUGAAUUAAUUUAAGACAUCAUAUUAGUAACAUAAGAGGAGAAAUGAGAAAUUGAAAAUUUGAUAAUUACCAAUUAUAUGAAGUGUUUCAAGUUUCUGAUUCAUAAUUUAGUCUUAGAUCGUGUUUGUUUUAGAAUUUGGAGAUUAGGUUUAGUAUUUCACCAUGCUUUUAGUGGGUUAGAAAUUUAGAAUGACAGAAUUGUAAAGUGAUGUUUAUAAACCUCACUCGCCAAAACUGUUGUUACUGUAUGGAGCCUCACUUUCCUUCUAGUGCAGUGUCUGAUUUUUAAAUUUGCAGGCAUUACUCAAAUUUGAAAAGCAUAUCAUGGAUGCUGGCGAGCUCCCUAUCAACCCCAUGAACCCCACCAGUGCUGGUAAUCAGGUAACCAGUACUGUGGAUCAUGUUGCAUUGUUGUUUGGUGUUUAAAGAAUUAAAAUUUUCUUUCUGUUGGGUAACAGGGAUAUGUGCUUUUGUUUUUAGCCAUGAAUCAUAUGUAAAAUAUAAGCAAAAUGUGUGGAAUAAAGCUAUUAAUGUUGAGAAAAUAAACUAGUAUAUUUUUUGUGUACCAAAGCAUCUCAAUUGAUCAAUAUAUUUAAAGCAUGUUCUUUUUACAUUGAAGAAUUUUGUUGUAAAAAGUAUAAGGUUGAGUACACGUGAGGUGAUUAAAGGUCUGCUUGAUUCACUUUUCUAGAAGCUUUAUUAUGUUUUCAGAGAACUUGUGUGAAAUUCGUUCGUCUGGCAGUUUUUAAAAAAUUGUGUUUAAAAAAAAAAAAAGAAUCUCUGCUUUAGGGCUAGGGGUGCACAAAGGAACUGUGGAACCGAACCGAACCGGGGUUCCGGUUCUGUUCUCACGGUUUCGAUUCUGGAACCGAACCGUAAUAUAUAUUAUAUAUAUUUGAUUAUAUUAUUAGUAACUCUAAUCCAAAAAACAAAAUAUUUUUAGGGCAAAUCAUUUCAGCCUCCCCAAUUGCCUCCAUCUCUAUUCUCGUUCUUGACUCUGAACUUGCCCUCUCUCUCUCUCCAACUGCAAACUACAAAAUCUACAAGAAUCAGAAGUUCAAAACCCAUAUAUUUCAGUUUAUCUAUCUGUCUGCAAGAAUCAAAAGUUCAAAACCUAUAUUGGCAUAUCAUUUUAGAUUGUUCAAAAAAUCAAAACCCAUAUCUUUCAGUUUCAAUCGCCCGCUGUUCCAGUUUGGGUUUGCCGUUCGCCGUUUGCAAGCUUCAGCCGCUGUCGCUCAACUCUCAAGCUUCCCCC